AAUAGAUACCCCGGUAGUCCACGCCGUAAACGAUGAGUACUAGGUGUCGGGGGUUACCCCCCUCGGUGCCGCAGCUAACGCAUUAAGUACUCCGCCUGGGAAGUACGCUCGCAAGAGUGAAAUUCAAAGGAAUUGACGGGGACCCGCACAAGUAGCGGAGCAUGUGGUUUAAUUCGAAGCAACGCGAAGAACCUUACCUAAGCUUGACAUCCCACUGACCUCUCCCUAAUCGGAGAUUUCCCUUCGGGGACAGUGGUGACAGGUGGUGCAUGGUUGUCGUCAGCUCGUGUCGUGAGAUGUUGGGUUAAGUCCCGCAACGAGCGCAACCCUUGCCUUUAGUUGCCAGCAUUAAGUUGGGCACUCUAGAGGGACUGCCGAGGAUAACUCGGAGGAAGGUGGGGAUGACGUCAAAUCAUCAUGCCCCUUAUGCUUAGGGCUACACACGUGCUACAAUGGGUGGUACAGAGGGUUGCCAAGCCGUGAGGUGGAGCUAAUCCCUUAAAGCCAUUCUCAGUUCGGAUUGUAGGCUGAAACUCGCCUAC
rnacentral:rRNA from 1 species